rnacentral:rRNA from 1 species
GACGAACGCUGGCGGCGUGCUUAACACAUGCAAGUCGAACGGAAAGGCCCUGCUUUUGUGGGGUGCUCGAGUGGCGAACGGGUGAGUAACACGUGAGUAACCUGCCCUUGACUUUGGGAUAACUUCAGGAAACUGGGGCUAAUACCGGAUAGGAGCUCCUGCUGCAUGGUGGGGGUUGGAAAGUUUCGGCGGUUGGGGAUGGACUCGCGGCUUAUCAGCUUGUUGGUGGGGUAGUGGCUUACCAAGGCUUUGACGGGUAGCCGGCCUGAGAGGGUGACCGGCCACAUUGGGAGUGAGAGACGGCCGAGACUCCUACGGGAGGGAGCAGGGGGGAAUAUUGCACAAUGGGCGGAAGCCUGAUGCAGCAACGCCGGGUGCGGGAUGACGGCCUUCGGGUUGUAAACCGCUUUCGCCUGUGACGAAGCGUGAGUGACGGUAAUGGGUAAAGAAGCACCGGCUAACUACGUG